CCUACGGGAGGCAGCAGUGGGGAAUAUUGGGCAAUGGGCGCAAGCCUGACCCAGCAAUGCCGCGUGAAGGAAGAAGGCUUUCGGGUUGUAAACUUCUUUGACAGGGGAAGAGCAGAAGACGGUCCCCUGAAAACAAGACACGGCUAACUACGUGCCAGCAGCCGCGGUAAUACGGAGGUGGCAGGCGUUGUCCGGAUUUACUUGGUGUAAAGGGCGUGUAGCCGGGAAGGCAAGUCAGAUGUGAAAUCCUGAGGCUCAACCUCCGAAUUGCAUUUGAACAUGUUUUUCUUGAGUACUGGAGAGGCAGACGGAAGUCCUUGUGGAGCGGUGAAAUGCGUAGAUAUAAGGAGGAACACCAGUGGCGAAGGCGGUCUGCUGGACAGCAACUGACGGUGAGGCGCGAAAGCGUGGGGAGCAAACAGGAUUAGAUACCCCAGUAGUC
rnacentral:rRNA from 1 species